AUUGAACGCUGGCGGCAGGCCUAACACAUGCAAGCCGAGCGGAUGAGGGAAGCUUGCUUCCCGAUUUAGCGGCGGACGGGUGAGUAAUGCCUAGGAAUCUGCCUAUUAGUGGGGGAUAACGUUCCGAAAGGAACGCUAAUACCGCAUACGUCCUACGGGAGAAAGUGGGGGAUCUUCGGACCUCACGCUAAUAGAUGAGCCUGGGUCGGAUUAGCUAGUUGGUGAGGUAACGGCUCACCAAGGCGACGAUCCGUAGCUGGUCUGAGAGGAUGAUCAGCCACACUGGAACUGAGACACGGUCCAGACUCCUACGGGAGGCAGCAGUGGGGAAUAUUGGACAAUGGGCGAAAGCCUGAUCCAGCCAUGCCGCGUGUGUGAAGAAGGUCUUCGGAUUGUAAAGCACUUUAAGUUGGGAGGAAGGGUUGUAAGCUAAUAUCUUGCAGCUUUGACGUUACCAACAGAAUAAGCACCGGCUAACUCUGUGCCAGCCGCCGCUGUAAGAC
rnacentral:rRNA from 1 species